GACAGAGGUCCCGAGCGUUAGGCGGAAUCACUGGGCGUAAAGCGCACGUAGGCGGCGCUGCAAGUCGGACGUGAAAUCCCUCGGCUCAACCGAGGACGUGCAUCCGAAACUGCAGUGCUCGAGUAUGGAAGAGGGUCGCGGAAUUCUCGGUGUAGAGGUGAAAUGCGCAGAUAUCAGGAGGAACACCGAUGGCGAAGGCAGCUCGCUGGGACGGUACUGACGCUGAGGCGCGAAAGCGUGGGGAGCAAACAGG
rnacentral:rRNA from 1 species